UACAGAGGUCUCAAGCGUUGUUCGGAUUCAUUGGGCGUAAAGGGUGCGUAGGCGGCGCGGUAAGUCGGGUGUGAAAUCUUGGAGCUUAACUCCGAAACUGCAUUCGAUACUGCCGUGCUUGAGGACUGGAGAGGAGACUGGAAUUUACGGUGUAGCGGUGAAAUGCGUAGAUAUCGUAAGGAAGACCAGUGGCGAAGGCAGCCCCCUGGGUCAAGAUUGACGCUCAUGCACGAAAGCGUGGGGAGCAAACAGG
rnacentral:rRNA from 1 species